UACGUAGGGGGCAAGCGUUGUCCGGAAUCAUUGGGCGUAAAGCGCGUGUAGGCAGCUCGGUAAGUCUGCUGUGAAAGUCCAGGGCUCAACCCUGGGAUGCCGGUGGAUACUGUCGAGCUCGAGUCCGGAAGAGGCGAGUGGAAUUCCUGGUGUAGCGGUGAAAUGCGCAGAUAUCAGGAGGAACACCAAUGGCGAAGGCAGCUCGCUGGGACGUGACUGACGCUGAGACGCGAAAGCGUGGGGAGCAAACAGG
rnacentral:rRNA from 1 species